GCAAUUCUUUCCUCGCUUGCAAGUUGGCUAUUAAUCAGCCAGUGGAAUGGAGGCACCGCUUAAAUCUGAGGUAUUUUGCUCAUCUUUUAUGCAUUUUUUUCUGCCUUUGGUGGAGCUAUUUGCCAGGUUAUUAAUGCUGAGUGUUCGAUGGUGCUUUACUUGCUUCGUUUCUUUGCUUUGUUUUUCAUGCAGACAAUUCUUUCCUCUCUUGCAAGUUGGCUAUUAAUCAUCUGGUGGAAUGGAGGCACCAAAUAAAUCUGAGGUAUUUUGCUCAUCUUUUAUGCAUUUUUGGUCUGCCUUUGGUGGAGCUAUUUUCCAGGUUAUUAAUGCUGAGUGUUCGGUGGUGCUUUACUUGCUUCGUUUCUUUGCUUUGUUUUUCAUGCAGGUAUCUUGAUUCCAACACGUUCGACUUUGUGUUCUGCAUACGAGGUUUUGCUUUUGUUGCCUUCCUGCUAGGUUUAGUUGCAUAUGCAUAUUAUUUAGUGGGGUUGUUUUUUUUUUUGUCAUCCAGGUUGUUCCUGAGGCUAUCUGAUGGAAGCUUGCUUGUGGGGCUUCUAUGGAGGCUGGAUCUUUGAGCUUCAAUGAGGUCCUUUAAUGGUGAUUUUCCACCAUGGAGAUGCAGCGGAAGACAAAGGAGAAGAGGUAAGAGGAGGCGCCAUCCACUAGGGAAUAG
rnacentral:lncRNA from 1 species